GUGUCAGCCGCCGCGGUAAUACGUAGGUGGCAAGCGUUGUCCGGAUUUAUUGGGCGUAAAGGGAGCGCAGGUGGUUUCUUAAGUCUGAUGUGAAAGCCCACGGCUUAACCGUGGAGGGUCAUUGGAAACUGGGAAACUUGAGUACAGAAGAGGAAUGUGGAACUCCAUGUGUAGCGGUGGAAUGCGUAGAUAUAUGGAAGAACACCAGUGGCGAAGGCGACAUUCUGGUCUGUUACUGACACUGAGGCUCGAAAGAGUGGGGAGCAAACAGGAUUAGAUAC
rnacentral:rRNA from 1 species